GGUGUUUUUAAUUCUGGCCUUGAUGGCAGUAUUUGCCCAACAGCCUCUUAGUAAGAUUAGACCUUGGUGUUGCGCUUACAAUUGCGGACAUAAUGAUUGCAGACGCUAAAUAGAGCGUUUCCUAGACAUUACAACUGAGCUCUUGCAAAUGAUUUAAUUUGUAAUUAAUUAAUUAAGUCAAAUUCCGCUUAAAUUCGUUUCAAAUAGAGCUAAAUUGUGCUUGAGAAAAACAUCAAUUGAGCCCAGCAUUGACUGAAGCAUUA